rnacentral:rRNA from 1 species
CCUACGGGAGGCAGCAGUGAGGAAUAUUGGUCAAUGGGCGGGAGCCUGAACCAGCCAAGUCGCGUGAGGGAAGACGGUCCUACGGAUUGUAAACCUCUUUUGCCGGGGAGCAACGGGUUCCGUUCGAGGGCCCAAUGAGAGUACCCGGAGAAAAAGCAUCGGCUAACUCGGUGCAAGCAGCCGCGGUAAUACGAGGGAUGCGAGCGUUAUCCGGAUUUAUUGGGUUAAAGGGGUGCGUAGGCGGGCUGUUAAGUCAGCGGUCAAAUGUCGGGGCCCAACCCCGGCCUGCCGUUGAAACUGGCAGCCGUGAGUGGACGAGAAGUAUGCGGAAUGCGUGGUGUAGCGGUGAAAUGCAUAGAUAUCACGAAGAACUCCAAUUGCGAAGGCAGCAUACCGG